rnacentral:rRNA from 1 species
UACAGAGGUCCCAAGCGUUUGUUCGGAUUCACUGGGCGUAAAGGGUGCGUAGGUGGUCAGGUAAGUCGGAUGUGAAAUCUCCGAGCUCAACUCGGAAACUGCAUUGGAAACUACCUGGCUCGAGGGUUGGAGGGGGGACUGGAAUGCUUGGUGUAGCAGUGAAAUGCGUAGAUAUCAAGCGGAACACCAGUGGCGAAGGCGAGUCCCUGGACAACUCCUGACACUGAUGCACGAAAGCUAGGGGAGCAAACAGG